UAAUGAGGAGUAAGGAAGUGAGGAGCUGUUGACUGCCGAGUGAAACUGGAGGGGACCCAAAAGGAAGGAAAUUGGGGAAAUCCUGGCUUGCCAACGCUUCCAAAUUGUAAAUGUACUGAAUGUAGAAGGUGUGUUGUUUUUUUAAGCAGAGCUGCAGUUGUUAUGUGCCUAUGAAUCAGCAACCUCCAACAGCAUCUGUUGUAAACCACCCUCUUCAGAUCUUUCCAUGCAGACAUACCUCUAACGGAGAGGGCCCAAAGGGGACCCAUCCCCAACAUAUAUGCUUCCAAGGCUCUCCAAAGUUUGUGCCCUUUUGUGAUCAUAAAGUACAGCUGUUUUAACUGGGGGAAAAGCCUACCAAUUUGUUCAGCUUCUCUACAUGGAAGAGGAAGGAGGGUCACCAAAGGGGCAUAUGAAUGCCUUGUUAAGAAUAUGGGAAGAUGACUUAUUCUGAAUCAGGCCACUGGUGCAUCUGGCUUGGUAUUGUCUACACUGACUGGCAGUGGCUCUCCAGGUUGUCAGACAGAGGACAUCCCCAGCCCUACCUGAAGAUGCCAAGGGUUGAACCUCAAACCAUCUGCAUGCAAAGCAGGUGAUCUACCACUGAGCUAUUACCCUCCCCAACUUGUCCUUUGCCCUAGGAGGCAAGAGUGUCUCAGGAUGGCUCCGCUCUUAUACCGCCAACAAAACAGCCACUUUCUUCUUGCAAGACAUAGUGGUGCUGUUGCCCCAUCUCCCAAUAGGAGCCUUUUCAACACCCACUCACUAUAAAUCAAUAAACUGGUGGGCAUCAAGAAGGAGAAAGUCUAAUUAAAAUGUGCAUUUCCACAUGAUUAAAAGCCUCCGGGCUCCCAAAACAAGGAUGCUUUCAAUAAUAGUUAUAAACAAUGAUAAACAAC